rnacentral:rRNA from 1 species
CGAAAGCCUGACGGAGCAAUACCGCGUGAAGGACGAAGGUUUUUGGAUCGUAAACCUCUUUUCUCAGGGAAGAAGUCAGUGACGGUACCUGAGGAAUCAGCAUCGGCUAACUCCGUGCCAGCAGCCGCGGUAAUACGGAGGAUGCAAGCGUUAUCCGGAAUUAUUGGGCGUAAAGCGUUCGUAGGCGGUUUUAUAAGUCUGCUGUUAAAGUGCGGAGCUUAACUCCGUAAGGGCGGUGGAAACUGUAAGACUUGAGUGUGGUAGGGGUAGAGGGAAUUCCCAGUGUAGCGGUGAAAUGCGUAGAUAUUGGGAAGAACACCGGUGGCGAAAGCGCUCUACUGGACCAUAACUGACGCUGAGGGACGAAAGCUAGGGUAGCG